AUUGAACGCUGGCGGCAGGCCUAACACAUGCAAGUCGAGCGGAUGAAGGGAGCUUGCGCCUGGAUUCAGCGUCGGACGCGUGAGUAAUGCCUAGGAAUCUGCCUGGUAGUGGGGUAUAACGUCUGGAAACGGGCGCUAAUACCGCCUACUACCUGAGGGAGCAACAGGGGGAGCUUCGGACAUCACGCUCGCAGAUGAGUCUAGGUCGGAUUGGGUAGGUGGUGGGGUGAAGGCCGACCAAGGCGACGAUCCGUAACUAGUCUGAUAGGAUGAUCAGCCACACUGGGAGUGAGACACGCUCCAGAGUCCUGCGGAAGGGAGCAGUGGGGAAUAGUGGAGAAUGGGCGGAAGCCUGAUCCAGACAUGCCGAGUGUGGAAAGAAGGUCGUCGGAUGGUGAAGCACGUUAAGUUGGGAGGAAGGGGAGUUAGUUAGUACCGUGCUGUGUUGACGUUACAUAGAGAAUGAGCACCGGCUAACUUCGUG
rnacentral:rRNA from 1 species